CCCAGGCUGGGGGCCGUGUCUGCGCGCCCGUCCCGCCCAUGCCGCGAGGAUCGGGCGGAGGCGUCCCCGUGGGGACGUGGCUCUUGCAGCGCAGGAGCGGCCGGACCCAGGCGGGAGCUGGAGGCGCGGGCAGAGCCCACGGGGGAAGCGGCCCCUCGUCACCGUCCUGCCGCGAGCGGGAGGAGGCCGGCGCUGGGCGGGACCGCUGGGUCCGGGGCAGACCCCGGGUGGGGUCGCUGUGCCGCCGCAGCGGGGGGGGCCGGGGGGCCGUGCUGCGGAGCCGCCCCCGGGCCCCGGCGCAGCCCGGCUCUGAGCGCAAGGAAGCGGCGGAGAUCUUAAGAGACACCCCCCCCCCUCCGACCCGCAUCUCUUUGGAGUAUCCUUCAAUCAUCUGGAUGGAAGAGGGGGCAGGCGAGAAAGAAAGCAACCCACAGUCUCACCAAUCCAAGAGGAAAAGAAAACAGUAGAGGAAAGAGUUUAAUUUACAUUGGAGACGCUCUUGGUUUCUGAGGGUGGUGAGACAUAAUAGGAAAGGUGAGGGGCUUGCCUGAGUAGAAAAAGAAAUCUUGACAACGCUGUGAUAUUUUAAUCCUGCUUUUAUUUAGUGAUCUCUGUCUUUAGAGUCUGAUUUUUUUCUGUGACUGAGCCAAAUAUCAGAUGGAGAAUGCAGAAUCCCCACCUUCACUCCACUUAUAACCAUCUCAUUAAGCCUUUCCUAGACAUUAGAAGUUGGAUUCUUUAUACAUUUCAUUCUUAUUCAUUUUGACCAUCCAUUAUUUUGUUUGUUCUUCUUUCUGGAAAUACUUAGGAAGACUGAAAACUGUUCCCACUUAUAAAUCACUGUUGUCACAUG